UACGGAGGUCCCAAGCGUUGUUCGGAUUCAUUGGGCGUAAAGGGUGCGUAGGUGGUGCUGUAAGUCAGGUGUGAAAUCUCGGGGCUCAACCCCGAAACUGCACUUGAUACUGCAGUGCUGGAGGACUGGAGAGGAGAUCGGAAUUCAUGGUGUAGCAGUGAAAUGCGUAGAUAUCAUGAGGAAGACCGGUGGCGAAGGCGGAUCUCUGGACAGUUCCUGACACUGAGGCACGAAGGCUAGGGGAGCAAACGGG
rnacentral:rRNA from 1 species